rnacentral:rRNA from 1 species
ACGAACGCUGGCGGCAUGCCUAACACAUGCAAGUCGAACGAGACCUUCGGGUCUAGUGGCGCACGGGUGCGUAACGCGUGGGAACCUGCCUUGAGGUUCGGAAUAACUCCCCGAAAGGGGUGCUAAUACCGGAUAAUGUCUUCGGACCAAAGAUUUAUCGCCUUUAGAUGGGCCCGCGUUGGAUUAGCUUGUUGGUGGGGUAAUGGCCUACCAAGGCGACGAUCCAUAGCUGGUCUGAGAGGAUGAUCAGCCACACUGGGACUGAGACACGGCCCAGACUCCUACGGGAGGCAGCAGUGGGGAAUAUUGGACAAUGGGCGAAAGCCUGAUCCAGCAAUGCCGCGUGAGUGAUGAAGGCCUUAGGGUUGUAAAGCUCUUUUACCCGGGAUGAUAAUGACAGUACCGGGAGAAUAAGCUCCGGCUAACUCCGU